GCGAAGGCAGCGUACCGGCGCCACACUGACGCUGAGGCACGAAAGCGUGGGGAUCGAACAGGAUUAGAUACCCUGGCAGUCCACGCAGUAAACGAUGAAUGCUGGUUGUCCGGGUCGAAUGAGACCUGGGCGGCGAAGCGAAAGCGAUAAGCAUUCCACCUGGGGAGUACGCCGGCAACGGUGAAACUCAAAGGAAUUGACGGGGGCCCGCACAAGCGGAGGAACAUGUGGUUUAAUUCGAUGAUACGCGAGGAACCUUACCCGGGCUCAAACGGGAGCGGAAUGGACCAGAGACGGUUCAGCCUACGGGCCGCUUCCGAGGUGCUGCAUGGUUGUCGUCAGCUCGUGCCGUGAGGUGUCGGCUUAAGUGCCAUAACGAGCGCAACCCCCGCCGGCAGUUGCUAACGGGCAAUGCCGAGGACUCUGCCGGGACUGCCGCCGCAAGGCGAGAGGAAGGCGGGGAUGACGUCAAAUCAGCACGGCCCUUACGUCCGGGGCGACACACGUGUUACAAUGGGCGGUACAGCGGGAAGCCAGGCGGCGACGCCGAGCGGAACCCGAAAGCCGUUCUCAGUUCGGAUCGGAGUCUGCAACCCGACUCCGUGAAGCUGGAUUCGCUAGUAAUCGCGCAUCAGCCAUGGCGCGGUGAAUACGUUCCCGGGCCUUGUACACACCGCCCGUCAAGCCAUGGGAGCCGGGGGUGCUUGAAGUGCGUCGCCGCGAGGCGCGCCCUAGAGCAAAACCGGUGACUGGGGCUAAGUCGUAACAAGGUAACCGUAA
rnacentral:rRNA from 1 species